rfam:Triticum aestivum genome assembly, contig: Triticum_aestivum_CS42_TGACv1_scaffold_320488_4BL
UAUAUACUCCCUCCAUCCCAAAAUUCGUGUCUUAUAUUUAUCUAGAUACGGAUGUAUCUAACACUAAAACAUAAUUAGAUACAUCCAUAUUUAGACAAAUCUAAGACAAGAAUUUUGGGACAGAGGGAGUACUUA